rnacentral:rRNA from 1 species
UUAAACCUCAGGUCAGGCGGGA